rnacentral:lncRNA from 1 species
CCCUGUUACCUCCAGAGGAGUAAUUAGGUCAUUUAAAACACCUGCUUAUUACAUGUCUCUAUAAUUUUUUUUUUUAUUUUAAGACACUUUUUACUUUUUUUUUUUUUAACUUUUUUUUCUUGUUAUGAAUAUAUUUUUAAAGGACACAUUCACUGUAUAAAUACAUUUGUUUAUUGGGUACAAACAAUGCAAAUAUACCCUCAAAGAUUUCUUAAGGUACAGGUGUUUACGUCAAACUCAUUUUGGCCGAGGGCCACAUUGGCAUAUUGGCUGUCCUCUGAGGGCCAGAUGUAACUUAUAAAUGUAAGAAAAUGUAACCAAAUGUAAUAUAAAAUGAAUGUAAUUACUGUUAAAUAACUCUCAAUAUAUUAUUUAUUCAAUCAAAUAUUACAGUUGCAUGGAAAAAAUGUUUGCUUNUUUCUGUGUUUAACAGCACUCCUGUUCCUGUCUGUUCAUCUCUGUUGUGGAGGAGAUAAAGCCCCCAAGAAGGUAAGAUUUAAAGUGUAACUUACAGUAUAAAAUAUACAAUUUUCAAGAACAGAAAUGUUAAAAGUAAUUGAUGGAAAAUAACCAUAAGUGAUGACUUUUGUUGUUUUCUAAAGAUUAAGCAAACUGCAAAGACGCCGAGUAAAGCUGAUUGGAAAAUUGGACGCACAGUUCUGCUGGCCGGUCCUCCUGCACGUUCAGCUGCUGUGGCGACAUCUAAAUCUAUAUUUGGAUCGGGAUAUGAAUCUGGACAUGGACCAACUGAUAAAGAUCUACGGGAUUCUAAAAAGAGCUUUCUUUCUUCUCGACGGUUAAGCGGUAAAAAACAAAUCUUAAAACAGAUAAGACUUAAUUUUAAGCACAUUUAAUGAUUAAGCACUAGUUAUUCAUUUUCAGUGUCAGAAAAAUACAUAAAUAUUUGUUCAGCAUAAAACUAAAUAGAAGCCUCCACAACUCAAAAGCAUUUUAAAAGAUUAGUGUGUCCGCC